UAUAAGAUAGAAUGUACGUACUUGUCAAUAUCGAAAAGUUUACAUAGGGUAAACUGGCCGGAAAUUAGAACAAAGGAUAAAAGAACACGAAGCAGCCAUUUGACUUGAGUGCAAUAGUUCCUCAUACAAAGAAUAAUAAAUGUCAAAUUAAUAGAAACAAUAUAAGAAAUCUACACUCAGAAAAGAUACAUAUAAAAUAAAAUUUAAGGAGCAUAUUGAAAUAAUAAAACACUCUAAGAAAAAUUUAAUUAAUAUUUCUGAUGUUAUGCAAAUAGACCAUCAAUGGUAUAAUUUAAUAGACAGCGCCACAACACAGGAUGUAUUAUAAUAAAACUAUAAUCUAAGAUUCGUUAUGAACCCCGAGAAAAGAAAAGAAAAGAAGAUUCGUUGUACAGUAAUGUAUUAAAAAUACUGGAUAAAACUUAUUGUUGUAUAGUAACAUUCAUAAAGUUUUACUAAAGUAUACUGGUAUAAGCCCACUUUGAGUGUAUGGAAAUAAAAUUAAUACUGAAAUGUCGUGUAUGAUAAAAUUAUUGCGAAAGAUAUUUUAUCACGUUUUAUGCACUGGAGAGGGGGUUGUAAGCCUAAAUAUAAAUCAACCUGAAAUGCAUUUGUAAUCCAAUUUCGUAAAAUAAAGAUGUUUCUAACCGCAAUGCUGUGAGGCAGUCUACGGAACAAGUUUUGGAUUAAAGAGACGUUUUAUAUACAAAUUAUUGAUAUUUCAAAUUUUCUGUUACUUUUGGAUCACCCUGUAUGUUCUUUGAUAAUAAC